AUGCAUAAUCUUUCAGUUCUUACUCUUCCAGUUUCCAAACUGACUAAAUGCCUUUCUAAAAUCUCUCUGUUACAGUAUUGGCAAGGUUACGUACAAAAAGUACCUUCACCUGGGCAGCUGUUUUGUGAUCUUCAUAUUCAAGAAAGCAAAAGCCUCUGGUGUCGCUCCCUGUCUUCAUGGAGGAACGACACAGGACCCUGCGCUGUUUUUUGUCUGCUCGGCCCUCCCCAGGUUUGCUGCUGGUUCUUCCCGGGUUGGCUACCGACCCUUCUACCUCCGUGGAAGGGCGGUUCCCUCUGCCACAUUCCCCACUUCCGCGGGGGAGCGGCACACCGCCGGCCGGCUCUCUCAGGGGCUGCACAGGUGUUCCCUCAGAUGUUCCCGGUGCAUGUUGUCUCUCUCCUCCUUUAUAGUCCUCUUCCACCAAUCCCAACUCUGCUACCCACACGCUGAGUACGCUGCUCUCCUCCAAUCAGGAGCAGGUCCUACAGUUUAUUGGUUGAACUGGAGGCAGCUGUAUAGAAGCUGUUUCUCCCUUCUCAGCGCCAUAUUGUGGGAGAACAGAUGCAUAGAAUAAGUCUUAAUUCAAGUAACUUAGUCUAGUCCGGGUUGCUCCCCACAGAUCCCCCUUUCUUUUUAUUUUUUGGCAUUGAUACGUGCCUGUCUUCGGUGCCCCGCGGCACACACUCUGCUCUGCUUGCUGGAGUUGCCCACAGGUGCUUACAAGCCCUAUCAAUCAGGCAAACCGAAUCCGAGUCCUCUCUUCGCCAUGUUGUGAGGAGGUUUUUAGGCGCUGAUGCGUGCCUGUGUUCGGUGCCCUGCAGCGCAUGCUCUGCUCUGCUAGAACUGCCUGCAGGUGCUUACAAGCCCUACCAAUCAGGCAAACCGAAUCCAAGCCCUCUCAUUGCCGUAUUGUGGGGAGACUUAUUGGUGUUGAUUCGUGCCUAUCUUCAGUGACCUGCAGCUCAUACUCUGGUCGAGCUGCCUGCUGGUGCUUAUCGCCUUACUAAUCAGGCAGACCGAAUCCGAGCCUUCUCAUUGUGGUAUUGUGGGGAGACUUAUUGAUGUUAAUUUGUGCCUGUCUUCGGUGACCUGCGGCGCAUAAGCUGCUAGCCGCCCGCAGGUGCUCACCACCUCCCUAAUCAGGCAGACCGAAUGCAAGCUCUCUCAUUGCCAUGUUGAGGGGAGGCCUUAUUUUUCUCUAUUUCUCUAUCUCAGGGCAUUCCUAUCUCUCCCAUUUUACUUCUAUCUGCCAGCAUUCCUAUUUCUCUCAUUUUACUUCUAAAUUUCUGUUUCUCAUAUCCCCGCGGCUUCCCAGCGCCCGCCCUGAGGCUGCUUCUCGGUGCCUCACCCCGCGGCUUCCCGGCUCUGAGCCGCUUCCCAGCUUCGCGUGCUCUCCAUGGUCUCCGCGCCCCUUCGCGCCCGCACCACGGCCUUCACGCUAGCCCCGCGU
rnacentral:lncRNA from 1 species